GAAAAAUACCACUGCAGUUCUGGAGUCUUGGCUAAGAUAGAACUGCACAGCAGAACACAUCUUCUGUUUUAAUCACCUGAAUGUCUGCACAACAUUUAAACCAGCAGAAAAAGGAAUGCUUCUGAAAGCUGCCAUGCUGUCCCCAAAAGGAGUGGAAUGCCCCAGUGUUGUCACAGCUCCACUUUGCUGGAAUGUCAUCACAACAAGCAAAAGAGGAAGCUGCAUCUUGAUUUUUGCUGGAAGAGGGAAGUUGGACAAACACAGUGGGGACAAAUGAAAGAGAGAUCAUAGAAUCAUAGAACGGCCUGGGUUGCAAAGGAGCAUAAUGCUCAUCCAGUUCCAACCCCCUGCUGUGUGCAGGUCACCAACCAGCAGCCGAGGCUGCCCAGAGCCACAUCCAGCCUGGCCUUGAAUGCCUGCAUGGAUGGGGCAUCCACAGCCUCCUUGGGCAACCUGUUCCAGUGCAUCACCACCCUCUGUGUGAAAAACUUCCUCCUAAUAUCCAAC
rnacentral:lncRNA from 1 species